GGGGGCGAAUAAGAUUCGACGGGGGUUGUGUAGGUAAGGGCAGCGAGCCGAGCUCCCACAUGCUCGUUAAACGGUGGGAAAGCUAACAACUGCCAACACAAAUCUGGCAAUAGCCGCCUAGGCGGCUCGUCCGGCCGGACUUCUCCUGUGGGACCGGUGCAGGGCGUCAAAGACGCAGGAUACCCCGGGCCGGAAGGCCUCGCACGGCUGGGGGAAUAAAAGGGGCUAGCGCUUGAGGACCCCGUCCCCGGGGGCCGAAUGGCGCAAAACACAAAUCGGGGACUACGCUCGUAGACGUCUUUGCAGGCAUGCCUUCGGACAGCGGUGCAACUCCGCUCGCCUCCACCA
rnacentral:tmRNA from 1 species